GCGCGAAUGGAGCGGCCGAUGGCAGAUUAGGUAGUUGGUGAGGUAAAGGCUCACCAAGCCUUCGAUCUGUAGCUGGUCUGAGAGGACGACCAGCCACACUGGGACUGAGACACGGCCCAG
rnacentral:rRNA from 1 species